GAUGAACGCUGGCGGCGCGCCUAAUACAUGCAAGUCGAGCGAAUGGAUUAAGAGCUUGCUCUUAUGAAGUUAGCGGCGGACGGGUGAGUAACACGUGGGUAACCUGCCCAUAAGACUGGGAUAACUCCGGGAAACCGGGGCUAAUACCGGAUAACAUUUUGAACCGCAUGGUUCGAAAGUGAAAGGCGGCUUCGGCUGUCACUUAUGGAUGGACCCGCGUCGCAUUAGCGAGUUGGUGAGGUAACGGCUCACCAAGGCAACGAUGCGUAGCCGACCUGAGAGGGUGAUCGGCCACACUGGGACUGAGACACGGCCCAGACUCCUACGGGAGGCAGCAGUAGGGAAUCUUCCGCAAUGGACGAAAGUCUGACGGAGCAACGCCGCGUGAGUGAUGAAGGCUUUCGGGUCGUAAAACUCUGUUGUUAGGGAAGAACAAGUGCUAGUCGAAUAAGCUGGCACCUUGACGGUACCUAACCAGAAAGCCACGGCUAACUACGUGCCAGCAGCCGCCGUAA
rnacentral:rRNA from 1 species